GGACGUUAGUGGCCGUUCGAUCAAGAUUGGAUGGUCCAAAAUAGUGCAGAUUUUAAUUUUAAAAUUCAAAUCACUAAGUUUAAGUUUGGACCAUCUAAUCUUGAUUGAAAGGUCACUGAUGUCC
rnacentral:pre_miRNA from 1 species